AGAGUUUGAUCAUGGCUCAGGAUGAACGCUGGCGGCGUGCCUAACACAUGCAAGUCGAGCGGUAUAUAUUGAAUUGAGACUUCGGUGGAUUGAAGAUAUAGAGAGCGGCGGACGGGUGAGUAACGCGUAGGCAACCUGCCCCAUACAGAGGGAUAGCCUCGGGAAACCGGGAUUAAAACCUCAUAACGCGAGGAGUUCACAUGGACAUCUCGCCAAAGAUUUAUCGGUAUGGGAUGGGCCUGCGUCUGAUUAGCUAGUUGGUGGGGUAACGGCCUACCAAGGCAACGAUCAGUAGCCGACCUGAGAGGGUAAUCGGCCACAUUGGAACUGAGACACGGUCCAAACUCCUACGGGAGGCAGCAGUGGGGAAUAUUGCACAAUGGGCGAAAGCCUGAUGCAGCAACGCCGCGUGAGCGAUGAAGGCCUUUGGGUCGUAAAGCUCUGUCCUUGGGGAAGAAAAAAAUGACGGUACCCUUGGAGGAAGCCCCGGCUAACUACGUGCCAGCAGCCGCGGUAAUACGUAGGGGGCAAGCGUUAUCCGGAAUUAUUGGGCGUAAAGAGUGCGUAGGUGGUUUUGUAAGCGCGGGGUGAAAGGCAAUAGCUCAACUAUUGUAAGCCCUGCGAACUGUGAGACUUGAGUGCAGGAGAGGAAAGCGGAAUUCCUAGUGUAGCGGUGAAAUGCGUAGAUAUUAGGAGGAACACCAGUGGCGAAGGCGGCUUUCUGGACUGUAACUGACACUGAGGCACGAAAGCGUGGGGAGCAAACAGGAUUAGAUACCCUGGUAGUCCACGCCGUAAACGAUGAGCACUAGGUGUCGGGGCCGCAAGGCUUCGGUGCCGCAGUUAACGCAUUAAGUGCUCCGCCUGGGGAGUACGCACGCAAGUGUGAAACUCAAAUGAAUUGACGG
rnacentral:rRNA from 1 species